GACGAACGCUGGCGGCGUGCUUAACACAUGCAAGUCGAACGGAAAGGCCCUGCUUUUGUGGGGUGCUCGAGUGGCGAACGGGUGAGUAACACGCGAGUAACCUGCCCUUGACUUUGGGAUAACUUCAGGAAACUGGGGCUAAUACCGGAUAGGAGCUCCUGCUGCAUGGUGGGGGUUGGAAAGUUUCGACGGUUGGGGAUGGACUCGCGGCUUAUCAGCUUGUUGGUGGGGUAGUGGCUUACCAAGGCUUUGACGGGUAGCCGGCCUGAGAGGGUGACCGGCCACAUUGGGACUGAGAUACGGCCCAGACUCCUACGGGAGGCAGCAGUGGGGAAUAUUGCACAAUGGGCGGAAGCCUGAUGCAGCAACGCCGCGUGCGGGAUGACGGCCUUCGGGUUGUAAACCGCUUUCGCCUGUGACGAAGCGUGAGUGACGGUAAUGGGUAAAGAAGCACCGGCUAACUACGUGCCAGCAGCCGCGGUGAUACGUAGGGUGCGAGCGUUGUCCGGAUUUAUUGGGCGUAAAGGGCUCGUAGGUGGUUGAUCGCGUCGGAAGUGUAAUCUUGGGGCUUAACCCUGAGCGUGCUUUCGAUACGGGUUGACUUGAGGAAGGUAGGGGAGAAUGGAAUUCCUGGUGGAGCGGUGGAAUGCGCAGAUAUCAGGAGGAACACCAGUGGCGAAGGCGGUUCUCUGGGCCUUUCCUGACGCUGAGGAGCGAAGGCGUGGGGAGCGAACAGGCUUAGAUACCCUGGUAGUCCACGCUGUAAACGGUGGGUACUAGGUGUGGGGUCCAUUCCACGGGUUCCGUGCCGUAGCUAACGCUUUAAGUACCCCGCCUGGGGAGUACGGCCGCAAGGCUAAAACUCAAAGGAAUUGACGGGGCCCCGCACAAGCGGCGGAGCAUGCGGAUUAAUUCGAUGCAACGCGUAGAACCUUACCUGGGUUUGACAUGGGUCGGGAGUGCUCAGAGAUGGGUGUGCCUCUUUUGGGGUCGGUUCACAGGUGGUGCAUGGCUGUCGUCAGCUCGUGUCGUGAGAUGUUGGGUUAAGUCCCGCAACGAGCGCAACCCUUGUUCACUGUUGCCAGCACGUUAUGGUGGGGACUCAGUGGAGACCGCCGGGGUCAACUCGGAGGAAGGUGGGGAUGACGUCAAGUCAUCAUGCCCCUUAUGUCCAGGGCUUCACGCAUGCUACAAUGGCUGGUACAGAGAGUGGCGAGCCUGUGAGGGUGAGCGAAUCUCGGAAAGCCGGUCUCAGUUCGGAUUGGGGUCUGCAACUCGACCUCAUGAAGUCGGAGUCGCUAGUAAUCGCAGAUCAGCAACGCUGCGGUGAAUACGUUCCCGGG
rnacentral:rRNA from 1 species